ensembl:lincRNA D830044D21Rik RIKEN cDNA D830044D21 gene
AGUGUCUCCAGCUUACCGGGACCACGUUAUGUGCCUAAGGACAUCUAGCCAAGGGGCUCAUGAAACCCCUAGACUCCCACCUCCACAGACUAUUUGUAUUAUAUGAAGGUUGGACCAGCCCUGAGAGGAAGCUGUAGUAUCUUUUAACGGAUCCAUCCAUCUCAGAGGUGUACCGUUGCAGUGGACGUUGGAUGUUCCUGCUCAAAAGAUGCUGGGAAGGGCCAGCUGGAGGUCAGCUAUCCAGUAAAUAUAGGAACACCACCUGCAGACAGCCUCACCCGGGCUGCACCACACCAUGGGAGGUCACAUCACCGGAGGUGUUCACGUGCAUUCCCACAAGGCCUGCGGAUCUCCAUCGCUGUAUCAUUCACUGACUAUACUGUUUGUGGCUUUGGGCCUGAAGUUCCUCCGGGCCUCAUCUUUACAUACCUGAAUCAAAUCCAGUGUUGGGUCACAUGAGGCAGAUGGGGCACUGACUUUCUAAUGAACUCUUGAAUGUAGCCUUGGAUGUCUUCAAGAGAAGCAAAGCCACCAAGAAGUGUGACAGUGAUGUGAAGGACCCAGCACCUUAUUUAUGAUCCCGAACAUCUACUAGACAUCACACACUCAUCUGGGACAAGAAACUGUCCCAACAAAAUGCUUUGUUCCUGACUAGAAUAGAAUACUCUUUAAUAGCACCAGGUAUUUUAUAGGGAACAAAAUCUAUAACUGACAUGGGAUAAAUGUGUGUCUGUGGUUAUUGUGUUUUGUUUUGGAUGAGGAGUAAGUAGAAUUAUCAGCUACAUUACAUGGAUUUUUUUUGUAAAAAAUUAAGUUUCUUUGGUGGUAAAAAUGGGAGAUACUAAUUCUGUUGUUUUCUUCAUCUCUCCGGGUUUAAUGGGCACCUAUUGUAUGCAAGCUAGUGUCUUAGAUGCUCCAGAAACACUAGGGAGGAAGAUAGGCCAGAUACUGCCUUUCUUACGAUUAGUUUCUAUGGGGGAGAAUGAUAAUAAAGCAAUGAAUACCAAGAAGACACCAGCUACGAUUUCCCCCAUCUCUAGUACUCAGAAAUGCAUUCUGAGGAGCAGUCUAGAUCAGCAGUUCUCAAACUGUGGGUCGUGACCCCUGGUGGGGGGUGUCAAACCAUAUCUUCACAGGGGUUGCAUAUCAGAUAUCCGGUGUAUCUGAUAUUCACAUUUUGAUUCAUAACACUAGCAAAAUUACAGUUAUGAAGUAACAGUAAAAAUAACUAUGGAUGGCGGUGUUAGGAAGGAUGAGAACCACUGCUCUAGAUGGAUUGGUGGGAGUAUGUCCUCUGCAAAGAGGUCACAUACACUGACUCCAAGUGACAGAACACUUUAAGGAAGCAAAGACAUGCAAAUGUGUCCCAGUGCAGGGAGAGAUGUGAGAUUUGUGUUGUCUUUCGACUUAUUUUUCUAUGUCUCUUUCUGGGUCCCUGUGACAAGAAGAAAAUGUCUACUUUAUUUACCAACACAUGCACAGUGCCCACACGCAGCUCCUGCUUGGCACACAAAUGCUCAAUAUCUAUUAAUGAAUAACAAAGGGCCCUUGACCUACCAUUCCUUUUUCCCCAAGGGCAGAGCAGGUCGGUCCUGCGGGUAUGGGCUGUGCCCAUCAUGUGGGAGAAUGGAGAGAGUAGGAAGCUGGUUUCCUCAUAGAGCCUGGCAAUGGCAGGCUUAGGAAUCUAGGACUGCCUGCCUGAGGCCACGCCUCUGCCCGAGGCCACGCCUCUGCCCGAGGCCACGCCUCUGCCCGAGGCCACGCCUCUGCCCGCCCUUGUACAGCUUCAUGUUGAGGCUGCUUGUUUUCUGAGCUGACAGGAAUCUGAGGCAGACUUGGUUGAAUUCACCUGCAAUCUUCUGAAAGUGUGACCAGGGUCUUAGCUACAAAGUAAGUUCUGGGUAAAAGGAAGCUUCUGAUUGAGAGUUCAAAUGCCCCUAAAGCCAAGACAGGUAAGAAAGCCCUUGGCUGCCUCCUGCGGUACAAGGAUGGGAAGAGCUAGCUGAUGUUCUGUUCUGGGGUAGCUGGAUCUUUAACCAAAUGACCACCAUCAUAUCUGC